rnacentral:tRNA from 1 species
GGGGAUGUAGCUCAGUUGGGAGAGCGCAGCAUUCGCAUUGCUGAGGUCGUGAGUUCGAUCCUCAUCAUCUCCA